rnacentral:lncRNA from 1 species
CUAUCUAUCAAAAGGGGCUAUAAAUAAAGCCGAGAAUACAUGGUGAAGGGCAACGAAAUACAUACAUCAGCAUUACUCUCGGCAUUCUUAAGCAAAUCUAGGAUGUAUUUAGCAGAUUUGACAGGCCAGCGUCCUUGCCCAUUUGAAUGCCUGUUCUUUGCCUGAGCAGUUCGUCCAACACCUCUACAGAAGCGGGUGAAAGGUAUGGCUUGCUUGUGGACCAGAACAUCCUCCAAAUACCUUUUGGCCUUGGCCAAAGGCAACUUCCUAAUGGCAUGAGCAGUCUCCCUUGUGUUCUAUUGAGACAGUAUGGAAAUGAGAUAUACAAUGAUUUAAGUUCACCAUAAACUCAGAUUCUCACAUACAGAAGGAUAUAAAAAAUGAACAACAUGAUAACCAAAAGUAGAGAUGGGCGAAAUAGCAGGUGACCCGGUUGGACAAGCAGGAUCUGCAACAUAAUACCAACCUGGACCUAGCCUCUGGUAAAAAAUCUAUGCAUGAAACAAACCAAGUCUGACCUCAACAGCCAAAACAAUCUGGCUAAUAUAUCAAAAUUUGUAUCAGUGUAACUUUUUUUUUUCUUGGCCUUCUUUAUGGGUAACAAACAAACCACAACUAAUCAAACUGAUGCAGCUUUUAUAACAUAAUCAUAUUUCAGAUGAGCAGAGAAAAAAAAAAAUCAAAGAUCUAACUAAAGUAACAUCUAACGUAAUACAGGCAGUGCAAAUACCACAACUUUUUAGUUUGAAUAAUGAGUUCCUAGAAACACCGUAUUAGGCAGCUAACAGAACUUCUACUAACAAUGUUGCUAUGGCAAUGUAGCUGGUGUAAAGGAAUUGUAUUAUCAGACAUACGAUGGAGAAAAAGGCCUUUUUUUUUGCCACAAGAAUGCAGCAAAAACACUAGUACAAUUUAGAAGGACUCAUCCUACACACCACUUAAUGGAAGGAGUGACAUUCAUUUGAGAACUGUAAGUAUAGUCAAACUCAUCACAAUAUGCCACAAUUUAUUGAACCUUCCAUCACAAACAACUCCAGAGGUUCACCCAAUAAUAAUGAAACUGCUUUCCCUGAAGUUUAUGAGAGAAAUGCUGACAAAGGCAACAGGUCCCUGCUUUUUAUCAGGUUUCACAAACUUAGAUUUGAACAGUUAAAGUAAAAAUCAUUUAUCAUCAUUUAAUGAUGGCAACCAUCAGAGUGUGCCAUUAUUUACUGAGCCUUCCAUCACAAGCAACUCCAGAGGUUCACCCAAUAAUAAUGCAACUAAUUUCCCUGAAGUCUACGAGAGACCUGUUCACAAAGGCAACAAAUCCCUGCUUUUUUCAUCAGGUUCCACAAAGAAGAGAGCAAAUUGUAGUUGAAAAAUUAAGCCAAAAAACCAGCUAACAAGAAAAUAUCAACACCAUUUACUUCUAAAAUGUAAUGGAUAAAGAUUUUGCAAAGGGAAAUGCAUAGAAAAAUGGAUACAACUGCAAAUGGCAAAACUAGCUCUUCAACCAUUUUUUUUUAAUAUUUUAAGGAAAAUUUUAAAUACCAAUUUAUCAGAGAAACAAAUUUACCAUGAUUUACUGAACCUUCAAUCACCAAGAACAAUAUGGGUUCACCCAUGAAGAAUGUCAGGAUUUCCCUGAAGCAAGCAAUAAGCCCUUUCAUAAAGGUAUAAUAGAAUUCUGCUUUUUCUCAUCAGGUUUUACAACAAGAAAAAACAAAACUGAUCAUAUUUUUUUGUUUCCCUUUAUUUAGUAGCUAAAUUGACGAUAACAUGAAAAGGAAGGAAAAACGAGGCAAAGAUCAAACCAACCCUGUCAUGAUGUAACUGGAUUGGAAAUGAACCUUAUUCCCCGAUAUCACAAAGAAAAACCCAAUAUUUUUGCCAUGAAAAAAUUUCAGGAGAACCUUAGUAAAACUUGGACAGAAAUUAAACUCAAAUACCACUUUAAAGAAAGCAUAACACUCAGUUAUGAACAACAAUCAGUUGAUGAAACUCAUUAUAAUGUAACACUAUUUACUGAACCUUCAAUCACAGACAAAACUCAGGAGGUUCACCCAAUAACAAUGCAACUAAUUUCCCUGAAGUUUACGAGAGGACCAUCCAUAAAAAUCGACAGGCCCCUGCUUUUUUCCUCAGGUUUCGCCAUAAACACAACAACUCAUAGUUAAACAACCCAGACAAAUAAACCAGUUACUCAAAAACAUUGAUUCUAUAGCGCAUGCCAUGCAAUGAACCGUCCGUUUAAGCAUUCUCAUCAUCUUUAAUAAUUCAAACACAAAAAUUACAUGAAAAACUCUGCCACAAGAGAAAUAGAAGGAACGAAAAAUCUGAAGAGAUCAUAAUACCUUGAAGUGAACUCUGAGAUCUAAGCCCCUGGCCUUGCAAGCUGUGGCACCAAAACAGCAAUCAUAAGAUGCACAGAAAACAACACUACGUAAUUUUAGCUAUUGAAUCAGACACCCGAGAUCCCAUCUCAGGAAAACCAAAUGUUCAGAAAACAAAACACAAAUGCCCUGUUUAUUCGCUAAGAAAUUGCGAAAAAGUAAAGAAAAAAAAAAUCUUGAAUCCUUAAACCAGAAAAUCCAGCUCCAAGAUAUAACAGAACUCCGAGUUUUUAUUUCAUUUCCUCUACAGCCAAACAGGUAGAGACAUUUGCAAAACGCAAAAAGGCUAACAAGAAAUCGAAGUGCUUACACUUGGUGGGAUUGUCUGGCUCUCUGGAGUACUUCACCUGAAAAAAUACGCCAAACAGAUGAUCAUUUAUAGAGCUACAAAGAACAAGAGGAAUGAAUGAGGAAAAAAAAAAAAGGGCACUACCAUGGCGGCUUAUGAUGCUGCUGCUUCCUCCUCCCUCAGACAAGUCGAUGAUUUUCCUCGAGAAGAUGAGCUUAAACCCUAACCCUUCUAAAGUGGGCUGGGCUGGGCUAGGCCAAUGGGCCCAAAAUGGGAUCUUGAUACCUAAUAGCAUUACUUAAAAUUAAAUUUGCUUUAGAUUACAUUUUCUAAGUUGUGCCCUCAUCCGAAGAUGAUGAACCUAGGAAUAACUAAAAUUGAUUUUAAAUAUAUUCAUUAUAUUUUAAGCAUGAAAUUUCAAAUGCAUUAGGGAUCUCAAAUUUAAAUGGUCCAAUCAAUCCAUUUAGACCAAAUGAAAUUACCCUCAACAAGCUUGAUUUGAUUUAGUCUUUUUCAUCACCAAAUGGGUCCAAUCUUCUUUACAAUAUUUAAUAUUGAUGUAUUAAAAUAAUUGUAAUCUCUUAAUAUUAAUGCAUCACUAUUUUUGAUAUGUCAUUAUAUCAGCAUUCUUAACUUUUAAAAGUACAGAAUUGAUUUUUAAUAUUACCAUAUUAAUUAAUAUGAUAUUAUAUCAAUUUAAAACAAAUAUAAUAAUUUGGUAAAAAUAUUUUUGUAGAAAUCUUGAUUCAUGGAGAGGAAACAAAAAUGGGUUACCCAUUUUUGGUUGUAAGUUUUGUCAAAGUGAAAGUGAAACCCACACUUGUAUAAUUCUUGAAGGGGAAUGAAAAGUUGGUAUCCAAACAAAAGGGAGGGACCUUUUUCAUUUCAUUCCAUAGGAAUGAAUCCCACUUCAAGUUUUUAAUUUUAGUAUAAACCAAAUAUCUUGGAGGCCAAUCUUUUCUCACAAGGAACUCUGCAAUGAAGCUCAGCCAAUUGAAAGCAGCAAUCCCACAAAGAAAAUUGAGUCAACUAUGAUGGCAAAGAACCCCAUGACACCUCAUAUAUGAUGAAUGUAUGUUUAGUGGCUUAAAUGAAAGUAGUUUUUCAGAACGAAUUCAUUUUUAUUCCUAUGCUCCUUGCAAAUGAUCCUAUUGUUUGUUAUAAACAGCCACAUUUGAUUACAAAGGCUACAUGUAAUCAUCUUAUUUUCGCAGUAAAAAUAGUCAGAAUGCUAGCACAAAGUUGAGAAAUAUAAUAUGAAAAAGGACAGCUUAUGCAGAGAUGAGAAAUAACCAUGUGAGCAUUGAACCAAACUUCUUGAUGAUUUGCACCAAAUGAAAGACUUUUUGGCCAAAAUAACCAUGGUUUGCAAUUAAUCGACUUGAUUAGGUCCAUUUAUAAGAGGACAAAACUAGGGUUAUUUCGGGGGUAUCUUCAUCUAAAAUUUCCAUAACUUUCCAAAAUACUCAACAAAAUUCUGAAAACAAAACAAAGUGGCUCAAAGACUCUCAAUAACCCCUGACUUUAUAUUAAGACAACAAACUCAUCUUAAAAUGAAAGAGUGACAAUUAAAAUUGGCAUGAAAAUUUCUUGAAGAGUUUACUAGCUCUAUCAUCAGAUUGCAAUUCGAGUAGAAGCACCACCGCGCAGAGACUUCUUGGAUUUGCCUGUCGCCAACUGAGUUUCAGGCUGCAAAACCCACCAAGAGUAGUAAGAUACUAAUCAAAACCAGGGCAACUAAUUUCUCCUAUAUUGCUCUCCCUUUGGGUUCUAUUCUUGAUGCAAUGACUAAUGAAUUACCUCCUUUUUAACAGGUUCUUCCUUUUCAGACAAAAUCAACUCAAUAUGGCAUGGUGAUGACAUAUAUGCUGCCAAACAAAUAGAAGGUUCCUGUUAACAUUUAGGAAAACAACCAUUACACAAAUGCUAGAUUUGAAAGGAAACAAACUUACGGUUGAUUCUUCCAUGAGCCCGGUAUGUGCGGCGCCUUUGUUUCUGUGCCUGGUUCACUUGGAUGUGAGAUAUGUAGAGUGAAUCAACAUCCAGACCUUUCAACUGUAAGAAUUGACAUUUAUUAGUUAGUUGGAAUUAUAGACAAAGCAGAGAAUACAUGGUGAAGGGCAAUUGAAUACAUACAUCAGCAUUACUCUCAGCAUUCUUAAGCAAAUCUAGGAUGAAUUUAGCAGAUUUGACAGGCCAGCGUCCUUGUCCAUUCGAAUGCCUGUUCUUUGCCUGAGCAGUUCGCCCAACACCUCUACAGAAGCGGGUGAAAGGUAUGGCUUGCUUGUGGACCAGAACAUCCUCCAAAUACCUUUUGGCCUUGGCCAAAGGCAACUUCCUAAUGGCAUGAGCAGUCUCCCUUGUGUUCUAUUGACACAAUAUAGAAAUGAGAAAUACAAUGAUGUGAGUUCACAAUAAACUCAGAUUUUCAGAGAGAAGGAUACAAAAAUGAACAACAUGAUAUCCAAAAAAAGAGAUGGGAGGAAAAGGAGACCCUGGUUGGACAAGAAGCAGGUGUACAGUGAUCUGCAACUUGAUACCAGCCUGGACCUAGCCUCUGGUCAAAAACCUAUGCUUGAAACCAAGCAAGGGUGACCUCAAAAGCCAAAAUAGCCUGGCUUACAAAUUACAUUAUAUAAUAAUAUAAUGAUAUAGUACAAUUAAAAAUUGCAUCAGUAUCUUUUUUGGCCAUCUUUAUAGGUAACAAACUGACCAUAACCAAUCAGACUAAUCCAGGUUUUAUAAUGCAAUCAUAUUCAGAGGAACAGCAACAAAAACAUCAAAGAUCUAACUAAAGGAACAUCUAACUUAAUAUAGACAGUGUAAAUACCACAACUAUAUAGUUUAAAUAACGAGUUAUUAGAAACACUAUGUUAGGAAGCUAACAGAACUUCAAAUAACAAUUUUGCAAUGGGAAUGCAGCUGGUGUGUGAAGGAAUCAUGUUAACAGACAUACCAUAGAGAAAGGCCAAUUUUUUGCCACAAGAAUGCAGUGAAGACACUAGUACAACUUAAAAUAAGAACUAUCCUACAGACCACUUAACAGAAAGAGUGACAUUCAUUUGAGAAUUGUAGGUGUAGUCAAACUCAUCACAAUGUGCCAUUAUUUACUGAGCCUUCCAUCACAAAAAACUCCAGAGGUUCACCCAAUAAUAAUGCAACUAAUUUCCCUGAAGUUUACGAGAGACCUGUCCACAAAGGCAACAAGCCCCUGCUUUUUUCAUCAGGUUUCGCAAACAAGACAAAAAUUUAGAUUUGAACAGUUAAAAGUAAAAAACAUUUGUCAUUAUUUACUGAUGGCAACCAUCACAAUGUGCCAUUAUUUACUGAGCCUUCCAUCACAAAAAACUCCAGAGGUUCACCCAAUAAUAAUGCAACUAAUUUCCCUGAAGUUUACGAGAGACCUGUCCACAAAGGCAACAAGCCCCUGCUUUUUUCAUCAGGUUUCGCAAAACAAGACAACAAUUUAGAUUUGAACAGUUCAAGUAAAAACCAUUUGUCAUUAUUUACUGAUGGCAACCAUCACAAUGUGCCAUUAUUUACUGAGCCUUCCAUCACAAUAAACUCCAGAGGUUCACCCAAUAAUAAUGCAACUAAUUUCCCUGAAGUUUACAAGAGACCUGUCCACAAAGGCAACAAGUCCCUGCUUUUUUCAUCAGGUUUUGCAAACAAGAAAACAAUUUAUAUUUGAACAAUCAAAGCAAAAGAUCAGUUAAUGAGAAAAUAUCAAAACCAUCUAUUUAUGCAAUGGAUAAUGAUUUUGCAAAGGGAAAUGCAGAUAAAAAGGGAUACAACAGCAAAAGACAAAACUAGCACUUCAAGAAUUUUUUUUUAAAAUAUUCUAAGAAUAAUUUUACAUACCAAUUUAUCAGAGAAACAAAUUUAGCAUCAUUUGCUGAAUCUUCAACCACCAAGAAAACAGGUUCAGCCACGAAGAAUGUGAGGAUUUCCCCCAAGUUUACAAUAAUCCCAUUCACAAAGGUAACAGAAAUAUGUUUUUUCCAUCAGGUUUUACAAUCAAGGAGAAACAAAACUAAUGAUACUUUUCACUUUCCCUUAAUCUGGUAGCAAAAAUUUACCAUAACAUGCUAAAUCUAACUAUAGAUUUUAUAUUUUAAUAAUAAGCAGAAAGGCAGGGAAACUUUAAUUUUUCUAUCAAAAAAAUAUAAGCACGGGAAAAAACAAAGCAAAGAUCAAACCAACCCACAUAAACUAAACAUAGAUAAUAGGAAAAAUAAAAAAACUUGUAUUCAUAUAAAUGAUGUCUAGAAACACUAUGUCAAUCAAACCAUACCAGAAGAAUGCAGACAAUAGUAUUGUCAUCACAAUAUAACCAGAUUGGAAAUGAUCUAACAAAUGUCACAAAGAAAGCCCCAAUAUUUUUUUCAUAAAGAAUACCAGGAGAACACCACUAAAACUUGGAAGAAAUUUAAAAUCAGAUACCGCUAAAAAGAAAGCAACACGCACUUAAGAACAACAAUCAGUUGAUGAAACUCAUCAUAAUGUACCAUUAUUUACUGAACCUUCAAUCACAAACAAUACUCAUGUGGUUCACCCAAUAACAAUGCAACUAAUUUCCCUGAAGUUUACGAGAGACCCAUUCACAAAAGGCAACAGGUCCCUGCUUUUUUCAUCAGGCUUGACAAAUAAACCAAACUAAGGGAAAAAAAUCCAAAUGCUCAUCAAGCUAGUGGAAGUAAAUUAAAAGGUACAAAAAUCAAAUCAAAUCAAAUACAUAUAAAAAUACCUUGAAAUGAACUCUGAGAUCUGACCCCCUGGCCUUGCAAGCUGCGCAUCAAAACCAGGCAACUAUAAGAUACAAAUAAUGAAAAUGAGAGCUUUCUUCGGUCCUCAAAAAUAGAAAAAUAGAUGCAUCUAAAAUAAAGAACCAUUAAUCUACUUCACAUACGCAAAACGUGAUAGAUCCAAAAGAUCCCAUCUUCAAAAACCUUAUAUUUCAAGAAAAAAUGCCUUGUUUACUCGCUGAGAAAUUAUCAAACACUACGUUCAAAAACCUUGGUCUCAUUUUCUCAGCAACCAAACAGACGCAGAGACUCGUAAAAGCAAUAUGAAAUGCGAAGGUGCUUACACUUAGUGGGGUUGUCCGGUUCUCUGGAGUACUUCACCUGAAAAAACACAUAAAAAAUAAGAUGUUUCAGACAUAUGAAGCAGAAGAAGAUGAAGAAGAAGAAUGAAAAUAGACCACAGUGCGAUACCAUGGCGGCUUAUGCUGCUUCUGCCUCACUAGAGAUGUUGAUCUCUUGUUCUGCUGAGAGAAGAGGCGAAGGCGGGACUUCGUGGAUUAGGGUUUGGCUUUAUAGGGUGGAACCCUAAUGGGCCUGCUCCUAAAUUAUUUAGUCUGGGGUUGGGCUGGGCUUGGACGGCAAACCCUGGUUUACAGUCCAAAUUCAGAAGGAGUAACGGGUCCAAAAUGAAAUAAAUGCUUUGUUAAUUUGAAUUUAUAAAAAUAGUCCUAAGCAUAAUUGGAUUUUAAUUUCUCAUUUUUUAAAAAUUAAAAAAUAAAUAAAUUUGGAUGGAUUUGUUAGCAUUUUCUUAUGUCAAUUUUUAUUUAAAAAUUAUAAAUUUUUAAAAUGAAAAUAAGGUUUUUUUAGGAAGAAAUGAAUUUGAUUUUACGUAAAUUGAAUGUUGUAGAAGGAAAUGAUAGAAUUAAUAUAAUGCAUGAUUAGCUACCAAUGAUGAUGGAUUUUUUAAAUCUAUUAUGGUUUAGGAAAAGUCUAGAUACCAAAAAGGUAUUAAUACAAUUUUAUAUCUUAAUUAAUGAAACUACAUGAUAAAAUAUAAGGUAUGGUAAAGACGAUGGACUUUAGAUAUAAAACAAUAGGAUUGGACUUGAUAUAAAAUAAUGUAAUCUAAAUAUAUAUUUGAUCGUGAUGUGAUUGAUCAUGAUUUUUGAUACUUAUCAAAUGGAGUUUAUUAUUGGAUCCUAUGAUUGAUCAAACUUUAUAUAAAACAAUAGAACCCAUCAUACAUAUGAUAUGAUGUAAUUGAUCAUAAUUUUUUAUAUUUAUUGAAUGAGUGUUAUAAUUGGAUCAUAUGAUCAUAUGUUUCUUAAUUUUAUGAUUUAAUUCAUUGCUGACCAUGAAUUUGAUUUUUUUUUUUUUAGGAAUUUGGUGGUUUUUGCCGCUUGUUUGAUAGGUAACCAAAAUAGUUUGGGACUUGAAAAAGAGGCAAUCCGGUAAGUAUAAACAAGGUUGCUUAGUAAAGAGAAAACACCUGUAGUGUCUAAUUGAUGUUAAAAAAAAAUGAGGUCAAAAUCAAUUUCUUCUUUCAUGUGAACUAAUGAUUUUCACAUGUAUGAUAUAAAAACAUGAUUAGUUUUGGAACUAUUUUCAAAAAUAAUUUUUAUUACAAAAUAAAACAGUUUUAUGUUCUAACAAAAUGCUUUCAAAAAUCAUAUUUUAAUUAUUUUAAUUGUUUUUACUUAUUUUUUAAAAACUAUUUUAAAAAAUAGUUAUAUAAAUAUUGAGAAAAAUUAAAAUAAAACAUUACAUAUAAAAAAUAUAAAAAAUAGGUUAAAAACAUUUCAAGUUCCAAAAUAAAGAUUUGUUUCUUAAAACAUUUUUUAAAAACUUCUCUCAAAUAUUGUUUUUCAGAACUCUUUUAAAAAAUAAUUACCAAACAAAACCAUAACCUCUCUCACUCUAAUAAAGCUUAAAAAUUUUACAAGGUGAAGGAAAAUAAUUUUCUUAUAUUUAGUUUAUCUAAAAAAAAAAUAUGAAAAAAAAUCAAAUAUAAUUAAAAUUAUUCAAUCUUUACAUAGAAAAAAAAAAUUAAAAAUAAGAUUAAAAUAACAUAUAAAAUUAAUUAUUAAUUUUAAAUUUAUUCUUUAUUAUUCUUUACAUUUUUUUUUUCUUUUUUUUUUCUCUAUUUUCCUUUUUCCAUAUUUUCUUUCAAAAUUUUCGAAAACCAAACAUAUUCGAAAAUUUAUCAUUUAAAUUAUUCUUUUAGACUAUGAGUUCAUUAUUUUGCACAUUCUUGCUAAUUCUGAAAGGCAAUUUCCUGCCAUUGAGAUUUCAGAGUAAAGUUCUCCUUUCAAAGCAAACCCACCCAACUAAAAAGAAAUUUUGGUUACGUUUGAUGGGGAAAAUACGAAGGAAAUAAAAACAGAGAAGAAAAGUGACUGAGAGAAAAAAAACAUUAAGAAAUAAUAUGUUUUGACGGAACGUACCAAACCCUCUAUGUACCAUACCCCUGGACAACUCGCCGGCAUGCCUAGUAUCAAUCUUGAAUUAUGACCGGACUUCUUGCCUGAAAAUGUCUAAUUUGCCUCAAGAAUGGACAAAGUGAUUGAAACAUUUACCCAAUGCUAUCCAAUUGAUAAUAUCAAUUGCAUAAAGAAAGAGACAUUUACUUGGGCUAACUUUCAACCUUUUGUUUUUGACACACUAUGCUAAACACCAUUCUUAAUCCUUAUAAGAUUUGAUUACACAUGAAUGAUGAAUCAACAAACCUUCAAAUAAUUUUAAUUCUAUCCCAACCGGCCUUAAUCUCUUUCACAUUCCCUUUCCUUUCAUUUUCUCAGCGGCCGAGGGCAUCGGAACUUCAUAGAGAGGGGAAGAAAAUGAAGGAGAUUCAAAUCAAAUCACAUUGCCAAUAUUGUACCGUCUCAUGGAAAAGCUGUUGCUCACAAUAAAAGCAGAGGUCACCUCUUUAUUUUUGUGAGGUUACCUGAAAAAACCUGUAUGAAUGGAGACUUAGAAGACAUAACUAGACAAAAAGCUUGAAUAAGCAGUAACAUCCACCCAGCUCGGAAAAAGGCCCUUUAACUUCUUUGCUGCAUCCACCAUAUAUUGAUCUAAUACAGCAACUUCCACCCUUAUCUCUUCAGAACUGCUAGCCUGCAAAUUCUCAGAGAGUUCAGCAGAGCAGGGAAAAGGAUUAUUCGUAAAAAUAAGAAUAACCCAGUUAUAAAUCUCAGAAAUUAACCCCAGGAUAUUAAAAAAAUGUGAUACAAACGGGAGCUAUACCUCCAACCAGAAGGUCCAAUUCUCAUGGCUAGCUCCACUGAGUCUACAAAUGUAUGAAAGUGGACCACCACCACGUGAUUCAGGAGCUGUAAACAAUUUCAUAAGGUUAAAUUACAAUGAAGACAUACAAUUACCAGGAAUAAUGUAUAAUAAUUAGUAAUAUACUUACCAGGAAGUACAUUAUCUGCAAAUGACCAACUGGAUAAAGGACCAGUAAUGUUAAGGACUGAAACCCAAACCUCCUCUAAAGAACUGGGAGAAAAAACAUCACAUAUAGCUAUUAAAGCUUACAGCUAACUUUUGAAAAAGAAAUACAUAAAUUCUUCAACUACAUAUCCAACAAACAAAUUAUACUGAGAACUAGUGCAAUAGCAUUUUUCCUUGCAGCAUUCUGUAUAUUUUAUUCAUCCCCUUCUAACAAUAUGACAAAAACAUGUGAUCGGUCGAAUACAAGCUAACAUGGAACAGAAGAUGAGUUGAGAGCAUUCACAGACGUUCACUUUUGAUUUUUAACUUUCUGUACUGAUUCAUUCAUGUGGAGAAACAGUAAACUGAAGCAAGUGAACGUUAUCUAUGCCCUAAGUAUGACUUCUACAGACCCCUGGUAAAGACUUUGUAUCCUCCCCACCCAAACUGAAUUUUUUGUGUGAGUAUGCAAUAUGCACUAAUUUCAACAUAGAGCACAACAUUGAUUCCUGUGCUUGUCAGAAUCAUAUAACUGUUUAGCAUUUAGACAUGUAAAAAAGUCCGACAAAGGCAUGCACAUGGCCUACAAACUCUUGAAAAUCAGAAGUUAUGCAAAGCAACUAACUAGGAAACUUUAAAUCAUCCAACAAAAGUCCUCAUUUCCUUGCAUAUUUAUGACCUAAUUAUCAGAGGCCUGUUUGGAUUGGCUUUUUGAAAGCCAAAAUUUCUUCUCUAACUCCAACAAGAAUAUUUUGUGUUUUGGAUAAUUUCAAUAUUGUGUUUUUGGCUUUAGGAAGAGCUUAAGAUUGAAGUAAAUACAAUGUUGCCCCUUGUGGAAGCUUCUUUUAGCUUAUAUGGGACGUUGUUCCAUGUUUAAUGAAACCGUCAUAAUACCAAAAUGGCCUCCUUAAAAUCAUGGCUUUAUUUCAGCUUAUAUUUCUAGCUAAAGCUGAUAUCAAAAGCAAAACCUAUCCCCAACAAGGCCUUCCAGGUAUGACAAGGUCUGCUGCAUGACCCUGUUGCAGUGCCCCAUAGUAAAAAAGGACAAAUAAUGAAAAACACACCAAAAUGUUCAUGCAUAUAUAUACAAAACAACAUCAAUUCUUAGAUAGCACUUGCAUUUUAUUAUACUUACCCUAAGUAAAAUUCUAAAUGAACCCUACGAGAUCCCCCAUCAUAAAGCGUAUGUGGCUUAUAAGCAGACAAAUGGGGAAAAGAGCUGUAGUGUUUCAACAUAUCAUCACUUCUUGCAGGGAACUUCAAGCUUCCUGAAAAUAAGAAAGAUACUGGAAAGAGCACCUGCAAAAGAAACAGACCCUUAAAAAAAUUUCAUACCUCAGCCCAUGAUAACCAUGAAUUUAAGAUCUUUGGAUUGAAUAUUUGUCAGGGAGUAGUUAGCAAAUAACACCACUCCAAAAAUGAAUAACAAGACCAGACAUUUCCACAAGGUGGGGAAGUGCAAUCACUAAUUCUUAAAACCAACAUUCUUAAGACCAAAGAGUGCGCACACAUGGCUUGCACAAUAGGACAAAGAUCCCAUCAUUCUCAGGAUGAAGUUUAUAUGAAAAAUAUUGACCAUGAUUCAUUUCUAAGGCAUAAAUUAUACAAACAAACUCAGUUUAUGUAUCUGGCAGAAUAUUAGCUUGAAAGUUAUAUAGCUACAUACCAUCCAAGUCUGUCGAGGAGAGUCCUUAGUGGCUUUAAAUGACAACUCUGAACCCAUGUUUAGUUCCUUUGCCACUUCGGGGGCAUGUUCAAAAAGAAAAGGCAAAGAAUUGGAAUCAACCACAGAAAAAUCAUAACUGGAGCCUACUACCCGACUUGCAUCUGUCAAAUCAGAAAACAAAAGAGGUUUUAAGAAGAUAUCUGGAAUGGCAAAUUUUCCCAGAAAAAAAAAAAUCAAGAAGAAAGCUAAGGAACUACUUUGUUUUUUUGAUAGGUAAAGAAAGCUGAGGACCUACACAACAUGUAUUCCUGUAAAUGCAUUCAUAUUAAUGCAUUAAAGAUGGUCAAUGUUGAUUGUAGUUGGUCACUUCACUAACGAUAAUAUUUGGUCAUAAGAACACAAUUAUUACAAGUUCCACAAGACAACGGGUGUUUGCACACUACAGGUUUCUUUGUUAUAUAAUAUGUAGUGACAGAUACUUUAAUCCCUUUGUAGCCAUAGAAACAAAUAUAUCUAUUAGGAAAAAAAUAAAUUACUCUCACAUGAAUUAUCUAAUAAAAGUAUGUUAUUUGAUGUUCUAGUUCCCCUCAGUUGAUGGUGUAUAUAUAUGUACACCCAUAUGAAUUUAUUGUUAAUGUAUUAAACAUCAUCUUUGCAUUUGAUGAGCUUCUUAGGAAAGAAUUUCGCGUCGAUAACUUACACUGUAGGUGUUUAUCAAUGUGUUGAAACACAUGCAAAAAUAAGAUUUCUUUACAUAUGUGGCUCACAAUCAAUAUGGUUUUAGAUGACAAGAUGAGCCAGAAUUGAAUUGGAAAGAAAUAGUGAUAGUGGAGGGUUUAAAACAAAUUAGAUUGAUAGAGGUUAGGAAAAUACUAUAACAAGAACUUAUAUCACAAAACAUUUGGACAAAAUAGAUCAAACCAAACUUUCUUCUAGGUUAUUAAAUAACCAAUUUAUUCCAAACAAACUGAAGGGAGAACAAUAAGAGGGUGUUUGGUAAAUCAACUUAAUGACUUAAUAACUUAAUUUAAGUCAUUUAGUAAAUUAAGUAUGUUUGACAAAAUAAAUUCAUAUCACAACUUAAAGUUAGAAAUAACUUUUAAAGUAUUAAGUCAAAAUGGUAAAUUUCACUUAUCUCUCCUCAGGUUUGAGCUGAAUACACUUAGUCACCGCACGUUUGAAAUUUCAUCAUACACCUCCAUUAUUUUAAAUCAAAGUGUAGGUGAGUAAAAAUAACAAAUAAGAAGAGGAAGGAAGGUAUUUGAUGAAAUUUCAAAUCAAUGGUGGUUAGGUGUAUUUAGCUCAAACCUUAAGAAAGGUUAAUGAAAUUAAUCAUAAGACAAAACAAUUAAUUUAUUCUUAAUCUCAAAUCUUUUUUACCUCAUUUGCCCAUAUCUAGGGAAAGUAUAUUUUAUAACUAUGAAUUCACAUCCAUGACUCAUUUUUAUAGUAAAUAUUUUGUGGUUAUCUUAUAUAUCUACAACAAUUUAAAUAUAAUUGUUUAACAAACAAAUUUAUCGGUUAAGAUUAAAGAAAAUAAAUAUUUUUUAAAAUUAAUGAGGAUAAAUAUUAGUUAAAAUUAAUGAGGGUAAAUAUGUUAAUUUGAUGAUUUAAAAUAAAUUUUAAGUUUUUUUUUUAUAAAUAAGCACAGAAUAUAUUGAUAAGAGGCCAAAAAGCCACACGUAUACAGGGAGUAUACAAUCUAGCUAACAAUAAAUUUUAAGUUAACUUCACCUAACAACCUUAAUACUUAAAGUGAAAAUCAAGGAACAAGUUUUAAUUCAACUACUUAAAAAUAAUUUAACUUAAGUCAUUAAGUAAUAAGUAUUAAGUUCACCAAAUACUCUCUAAUGGAAGAAUUAAGAAAACAAUUAGAUCAACUGUACUUCAAUAAAAAAGACAUGUUGAACAACUGACAAAUAGUUUGUUCACUAAAAUUAAGGAUGCUGUAAAGUUGUUAAGUAGUUAUUAUAAGGCAAAAACUUGUAAAGUAUUAAAUAAAAGAUGAGAGCAUUUAUGACAAAUGCAAGAUAAGUUCCAAUAUACUACAGAUCCCUUCCCAAAACCAGACAUGAAACCAGAAGUUUGUUCUUCUUCCACUCCUCUGAUAAAAGUUUGCUCAGCAAAGGUUUCUCAACCUCUCCAGCCUAUAAAUGAAAAAUAAGGUUUCUCAACCACCCCUGAUUACUUUCCAAAUCCUACUCACCACUGGUCCUCUGCCCACCUACAAACACCAUCACUUUCCAAUUCUACAAACUUAUCCGACUUUCCUCUCCAAUCUAUCUCUUUCAGACAUGAAUCUCCACAGUGAUUCACCCAGCAGGGCUUUAUUCAGGAGCAAAUUUCUCAAACUAAAACUAUUUCCCUUCUCGGUGGAAUAAACAACCUCCCACUUAACCAAAUGAGUCUUUACUACAAUAACAAACCAGUGCCCCCCAGAUAUCUUUUCAAUCCUCUGUUGAACCAAUACUGGAAUGACAAAAGAAAAACAUGAAAAAGAAACUGGCAAACUAGACAGAGUGUCUUCAAUGAGCAUGACUCAACCUCAUAUGGAGGCAUUGUCUCUUCCACUAAGCUAACUGUCCUUUGAUAGAUUCCACCACUGGUUCCCAGUUACAAUGAAGUAAAGGAGCCUUAAAGAAUGCUAUUUUCCUCAAGCGACUUAUAAUGGCAUAGACCUGGAAUCCCAAUUCACACCACAUCAUGCUCUAACUCAGAAAGCUUUGAGCAUUUUUAGAUCCUUUGUUUCCACCUAUUAUUCUGAGUCCUAUUGGUGUGUUGCAUUCAAUUACCUGUCCGUCCACUCCCACCUAUGACUUACUCUGCAUAUCCUAGUAUAAAGAAAGCAAUAAAUGUGUUUAUCCUAGACACAAGAAAGCCCACUAACAAGCAUCCAAUGCACUAAUAAAUAUUAAAUAUUAUCUGAUACCUACUAAGCCCAACAAAAGCUCCUGGAACACAUCUUUGUAUCAGUUAUGAUGAAAUCCCAGAAAAGAAUAUUAAAAAACAAAAAAUUCAAAACUUGGAACAAGUGGAAACUAUUUAAUGCUUGAAGAGAAUACAGUUUUCAUUUUUCAAUGCUUUUGCAAGGUUGUAGAUGAAAAGUUAGUUACAAGUUAAGACGAUAUGAAACCUUCCCACUAAAGAACCAACUCAUCAAAUUAAACCAGGUGUGAUAAAUACGAGCUUUGAUCCAUACCAAAAAACAGCUGAAAGUUUGAAAGGAGAGCAUAAAGAAAUUAAAAAUAUUUAUAUAAACCUAAGCCCCCAAUGAGCAUUUAUAGGAGCAUGUGACAUAUAUAGCAUAAUAACUGUUGUUUUAUUUAGUACCUGCAGUUAGGAAUGUAUGCUGAAAAACAACCCUCUUAGGAGCAGCAAUGCUAUAAGGAAAGAACUGCGAUGACAGAGCCAAGGCAAGCACACUAAGCUGCAACAAGAAUUUCAAGAUGGAUGAUCUGGCAAGCCAGUGACCACAAAUAGGUAUUAGCGGGCCCACACACCAACUGGUUACUAAUCCUAUUACUGCUGCCACUAUAAUAUCCGGAAUGAAAUAUCCUGCAAAUGAAGAUUAAUUUGUUUGAAAUACUUGUAAAGCAACUAGAAUACUCAGGUAAAUAGACUUUUCCGCUUUGAGAUUUUCCUAUAUAACUGCCAUCAUCAUAAAGAGAUAAGUUUGAAGUAUAUAUGUGCUUACUCAUGUUAAUAAUUUUCAAUACAAACCACUUCAAGUACAAGCAACAGGAGAGCAUAUAAAUGAAAGGAUCAUCCAUUUAGCCAGAAUGGAUGUUAUAAAAGUGAUACAUCAAUGCACCACGACCGUCCAUAAAUGGAGUUUUCCCCAUUUAGAGGGGGAAAAAAAAAACCCUAUGCAAAAGAUCGGAAUAUUGUUUGAAAUUUGUAUAAAGAAGCACAAGAAGUUUAAAUAUGAAACAGGUUGAAUAUACAGUCAAUUAGAUUUUUGAGCCACAUGUAUCCAAUUGCAUACUCCGUGACUGAUUGCUUCAGCCAGAAUUAGUCAGACACAAUACUGUCAUUACUGUCUCAACAAGAAUAUUUCUAACAAUAAACCAAUUGAAAGUGACAUGAGGUUGUUUGGUGGAUCAACUCUUAAUGACUUAAUAACUUAAUUUAAGUUAUUAAGUAAAUUAAGUUUGUUUAAUAAAAUAACUUUAUAUUAAAACUUAAAAUUAAAAAUAACUUUAAGUAUUAAGUCAAAAGAAUUAACUUAUUUUGAAUUUCAAAUCUCUUUGCCUUAUUUGUCCACACCUAAUGAUAGUCUCUUUUAUAUCCAUGUCUCCACAUCUGCAAAUUGUUUUUUAUUGUAAAUAUUUUGAAGUCCUUUUAUGUGUUUGCAAUACUUUUAAUAUGAAUAUUUAAUAAAAAAAAUUUGUUUGAGAUUAAUGAGGGUAAACAUUAAUUACAAUUAAUAAGGGUAAAUAUGUCAAUUUGAUGAUUUUUAGCAUAAAAAUUUUAAGUUAACUUUACCAAACAACCUUAAUGCUAAAGUAAAAAUCAAGUCAUAAAUUUUAAUUAAACAACUUAAGAAUAAUUUAACUUAAAGUCAACUUAACUCAUUAAAUAAUAAGUAUUAAGUUUUACCAAACACCCUCUGAAUUGAAAGGUUAUUACAUUAUACUAGCAUUGGUAACCCUCAGGGCCACUGGAGGUUUACCCGGUCAUUAACUUCAGGGCCCCGUGGGAUUAGUCGAGGUGCGCAUAAGCUGGCCCGGACAUCCACGGUUAUCAAAAAAAAAUUAUACUAGCAUUGGUAACAAUAAAAGUAUGGAAAGACUAACCAUAGGGGGGUGGGAUAGAACCCAUCAUACCCAUCUUCUCAAUCAAGAAUUGGGCAAGAAACCCACCAAAGUAGACAGAGUACGUGAUGCAGGGUAUUAGAGGUAACACGUAGCACAUUGCUGAUCUGGAAAAAAUAUAACUUCUCACUCACACUAUAAUAUUGAACAAUAUCAACAAGAUUAUUAUUAGAGAACCAUUUUAACUUGUACCUAAGUGAUUGACAAUCAAAAAGCUUGACUGCAAAGUGAAAUGAGAUCCAUGCAGCAAGCAUAGAAACUGACAGAGAAAAAGUCAAGAAACCUCCACUCAAUCCAGCUACAAGAUAGGCCUGCUUUCACUAAUGUAGUCUUAGCCAUUUCAAGUCUCAUAACUGUAUAGAAUUAAGCAGAACAGAAAAACCCACUCACUCAUUCACUCACACACACAUAGACAGAAAGGUUACUCAUCUCAUAUUCGUUUCCCAAAAUAAUGAAAUCCAGUUUUAUGUAGUGAUCAAAUUGCAUACCAAGGUCAACAGAGCAUAAAACCCAAACACCCCCCAGAACCUUGGAUCAUCAGAUAGUCCCUGAGGAAUAUGCCAAAUCAUUAGUUCACCCUCUGGUGGUGAAAAAUGUUAUGCAGAUCAAAUAUAAGUUUUUGAUUGAAAAAGAUGGAUCUAAAAACCUUGAAUAAAACAUUAUGCUACCAAGAUUAGAGUGAAAAAUCUCUAUAACAAAUGCAUCUACAGAAGAAACAAAUAAAGACGAAUGCAACAUGCUUAUAAUUCAAUUUCUUAUCCUCUGGGGAAAGGGAUAAAGAAAUUAUCAUCACAUGGAAUAGGACAAAAUAGAAAGAUGCAAGAAAAACAAACUCCAGUAUCCAAGCAAACUUCUAAUGUGUCACCAGUAAGAAGGCCAAAAACAAAUAAAUAAAUAAAAAUAAAAACUUAAUACUAGGUUGUCCAGAAGCUGGUGCAAUAGGCUCCAACAGUAGGAGAAUGGCAGAAACAAUACAAAAUGCUAAAGUAAUCAAAUUCCUACAAUGAAAAUAACAGAAAACUGGAAGUAUACAAAUUUCAGAUUUGAACUUGCCUGUUAUUUAUGGUCAUAAAAGGAGAUAAAUGGGAGUUUGUGUUCCCAAAGCAUAGUUAGAAAUAGGGAUAAGAUUACCUUUACACAAUACGAUAGAAAACUAAUUGUGACGAGGUGAGGAUCACACAUUUGGUUGUCAUGAUUUAAGCAAGGAAAAGGAUGAUAAGGAAAAGGAUGAUAGACUGUGAUUUAACACAAAAUGGCUCAAUCUAACCGAUAAGAAUUCAUGUAUUAAAUCAUGAAUAGCUGUAAUAAGGUUCAGAUGAGUUUAUUGUAUAUUGUCUCAAAUUGCAGGAGAAACAUAGAAGAUGCAAAGAGAAGCAGCACAAGAGUGUAUAAAUGUAACCAUAACCUCUUAGAGGCAGGCCAACAUAUAGUACAAGCAUAACAGAAUCUCAGCAACCAAAUAUACAGAUAUCUUAAAGAAGACUGCAUGGAAACAAGGAUUGCUGCAGUUUGGAGAAAUCUGAUAAUGGAUGAGGUUCAGAUGCUAAAAAAUUGAAUUCUAGAUCAGGCAACCCAAUAAUUUCUCUAUUUCACUUUUCCCAAGAGAACCAAUAUUUGCACUCCACCUUUGAUUCUGGGAGUCCACUGUGUAUGAAAGGUACCUCUGCAAGUGCACUAUAGGUGCAAUGCAAGAAGCAAAAUGAGGGGCAUAUAUCAUUUUGAAAUGAGUUACCAGUAAGAGUUGAAUCUCAAACUCUCCCCACUCCAAAAACCAAAGAUUUUAUCAAUCACAAUUAAUGAUGUGUAAACAUGUCAGGCAGAACACAUGUUUACAAUGUACAUCAAUCACAAACCAAGAACAAGGCACAUGCACCAUACAUAUGAAGUGGAACUCGAACUCCAAACUAGAAUUAAGAUCAACCAUUUCAGCCCAAGUACAAAUAAUAUGAACACAAUGUGAGGGUGAAAAAUAUCAUUUAAUUCCACAAGAGGCUCAAGCCUGUAGUAAAAUUGGAUGCCAUUGCACACCAUAUGCAUCCAACAACCAAAAGCAAUAACAGCCUCCAUUGCAUGAAAGGAACAGUUUGACAAUAGAUCAAUUGUAAAAUUCUAACUGAUCAUUUUGUCAUACAUAAGAAUUCCAUUGGCUGUGUUUUGCACAACUAUUAACAAGUCACUGCAGCCAAUGAAAAAACAGUUCAUCACCUAGUUAGUUUUUUUCAAUACUUCAGCUACAUUGACUUGAUCUGUGAGUAAGUUAUACAAACACCAGUUGCUAGCCAAAAUAGCUCUGCAUCUCAUUUUUUCAGUUCUCAUAUGGGUGGAAUAAUGCCAGAGUCACAUUUUGUCCAUCUAAUUGCUUCAUCUAUCCUGUGCGUUCACUACAAUGGACUUUGAAAUGUGUCAUCCAUCUCAUUGGUCCAUGUCAUCAAAAUUUCAGCAGAAAGAAAAUGAUUUAUGAGAUUUUAUAAAUUCAAUUUAAAUAGUCAAUUUAUGAGCAUUAAUCUAAUUGCUAAUUGUGAAAGUAAAAUCAGCUUAGACAAUUACAUAUUAUAAAUUUAGUCACCAUUAACAAUAAUUUAAGAAGAUUAGUAAGGAAAAUUAUAUAACCUCCUUUGAUGCUUGAAGACGUGAAACACCAUGUGUGAGGGGAACACUUCUCCAAACAACUCUUGGAAUCAAAACACCAACAAGUGAGCAGGGAAUAAACAUCAUGAAAGCAAGGUAAGGGCGAGCAAACCUGCAUUCAAUCAAGCAUGUAACUAAGAAAUUCAUUAUUCAGAAGAGCAUUAAUGUCAACAUAUUAAACUACAACUUCAGCUUUAACUUCAACUGGUAUAGAUCUGGAAGAAAUUUCAUGGUUACUGAAGUUUAUAACUAGAACAUCAUUUCAAAAUUCUGAAACAUGGCUGAGUGCAACCAGGAAAUGAUGUAGACCAUCCACCAGGAGGUCCAAGAACCUGGGCACAUAUCCUGGCUUUGCAACACCUAGUUAAAUAGUAUCCCGCCUGUUAACCUGGGAUAGGAUGAUUUUGAUUGUGUUGCAGAGAAUGAAAUGAAAGAGAAAAACGGUUCUACAGAAGCAAUACUGAGUAGCCUCUGCUUCAUUCUAUUCUCUUUAAGCAUGACAAAACUAUUUGAUUAGCUCUUUUUUUUGUCCCAUGCAGCAAUAUUGCUCAGGAUAUAUGUUCUUUUCUUGACCCAAUAAUAACUCCCCUCCAAAGGACAUAAUAAAGCACAAGGUUUAAACCAGAGAAACAAAAGGCUGUUUACUUCUCACUUUCGCUGCCUUGCACAAUGCAAUAGAAACAGCUCUUUCAUCAAUGAAACAGUUAGCUACUAAAUCAAAGUAACUUGCUACUGGAGAAAAAGAAAAAAAAAACAACUAUUAAUAAGCAAAUUUGGAGUUCAAAAAACACCAAGCUCAAAGUUAUAAAAAGUACACCUGCUAGAGCAACCUUACAGACAAGCACAAAAUGUUUCAUGGUAAUAUGUAUGCACACAAACACACGAGUACAUGUGUAUGUGUAUGUGUUACACAUCUGUUAAUUGAACAUUAUAUUGUAAUACAUAAAAACAAAAUCAUAAUAGAUAAGUAAUUCAAAAUGAAAAAAACGCCUACCAGCUCAUUGCAUGAUUAGAAAACAACAAUCUCAGGAUAGCAAAGACAAUUGGAACGACAACUGCCAGCACAACUCCAAUAGUAUGGAGCAGUAAUCCUGCAAAGUUAACAAAUAGAGCAGCAUUAUAUGGGACUUUCAAUAGGUUCUAAUUCUUAAGCUUAAAUAUUAACAUAUACUACUGAGAGAGAAGGACAAAAAUUUAUUGACUUAAAAAAACAUGAUAGAGCAAAGAAAUAAAGAUCUUCAAACAUAAAAAGCACAUGAGAAACUUUGAAUGAAAAUGCACAGUAAGAAUUAGAAAAAACUAAAACAAAAAAUAAAUAAAAGACCAUUUACCUUUAAAAAAGUCAUAGAAUGUUGAAAACCAAGUACGUUUUCCGAUAUUCAAUACAAACAGAAGAAAUGGCAUAAGAAGGAAGAUAGCAAUUGGAAUAGUAUGAAGCACCACAGCUGCCCUUCUUGAGUAGAAUAUCUAAAAAAUUUUAAAUGGAAAAUAAAAGGAGAAAUAUUAUCUAUCACUUAAAAUCAAACUUACUUGACAAUCAAAAUAUGAAAAUGACAAUAAAAGAAUAAUGUAAACCAUGAAUAAAAAUUAUAAAUAAAUAAUGUGGCACACCAUGAACCAUGAUAAAUAAUCAAAGAAAACAGCUCGCUCAUCCUUGGGUUCAUUGGCAGCAACUUUAAGAGAUUCUCGUUCAUGAGCAUUCAAUAACUUAGAGGAAUUAGCAAAGGCCCUUGUUAUGCUUAACAAAUUUUCUCCACGCGCUUGAAUGCUUCCAGGUCUGAUUUAUGAAUAUUAGUAUUUAUCAGAAGUGUCAUGGAUGAAGUCAUAUUAAACCUCCACUUAAGUGAAUUUGUACCAAAAUAGCAGUUCUAAUGCAUACAAUAGUCUCUCCAUUGUAUCAUAGGAGGUAUGAUAAAAAUAACCACCAAGAAGAAAGAUAAUAUCUAGCCCAGGAAUGUCACCAUAAUCUUCAGCAAAUAUUCUAUAAUCUGUAUCUCCAGGAAUCACAGGGAAAACAUCCUGCAUAAAGAAAGAAAAAUAUCAAACAGAACAUAUUGAACUACAAGACUACUACUAGAAAAAACAAAAGAAUAAUAGAUAGCAAGGGAAUGGAGACCACAUAAUAUAGUUGAAGAUGAGGUGAAUAUAGCUGAAUUUUUCCAACCUCAUUAUGAAUGUUCAAAACCAAGUAAACAUAGUAGAAGAGGAAGUAGAAACAAUAUUCAAUGUUCUAAAACAAAAACAAAAACUGCUUACUAGACUGUUUUUAUUACAACUAAGAAAGAUCAAGAACAGAACCAACUGAAAAAGCACACGAAAAUGAUAUUAAAUCGGUGAUAGGAAGACAACCUAUAUCUUUGAGUACAAACAUUAUCAGUAUGAUGCUCAAAAAGACCUGGCCACAAGUUAUUUCUCAUAAAAUUUCUACUUAAUCAGUUACAAAAAAGAAAAAGAAAAAGAAAAUCCUGGUUAACCUGACUUACAUUUUUAUGAUUUCUUCUACAACACAAAAUGUCUAGUUGCAACUUGCAAGACAAACAAAUGAAUUAUAAAACCUGCUUCAACAUCUGUUUAUCCAUAUACUGUCUUAUAGUAUCACACCGAUCCAUUCACCAUAGGCACCCAAUAUUAUCCCUUCUUUAUUAAAAACAAACGUAUUUAUUUCAGUAAUGGUACAUACAAGUGCAAGGGUUCUCCUAAUUGGGUUUUGAUGAUUAUAAAACAAGGUUAAGGUUAGUAAUUGUUCAAAUCAAGUUAAGUUAUUCAGGUUUACUUGUGAAAAUUUAAGGAAAGCUCAAGCAACAAUGGAAGAAGAUCAAUACCAUGAAGACUUGGGUUCCUUGAAAACUUGAAAUGACCUAGGAUUAAAUGUAAGAUCGUAUUUGUUGGUCCAAUUUAGUCUAAAUCAUUUUCAUGCACUUACAACUUAAUUUUCAUCCCUCCUUAAGCCUAAAACGAUCUUUUUUGUCAAAGAAAUGGGUGAAUCUUUGUUUUAAAUUAAACCUUGAACUAAAUUUUUUCUAAACUUAUCCUAAAAGGUUUUAAGAAGGUGUACACAAAUUGCUAGAGGUUCCAAACCUCAAAAUGGGUCAUUUUAAGCGCAACUGGUCAAGGGGGUUUGGAAACCAACUCGACUAGUCAAUGGUGCAUUUUUAUCUUCUCUCUCUUCCAGUAGCUGGGUUGUAGGUUGAGGCAAAGCCUUAACCAAUUGAGGUGAUUGCCUAAAUAGUUGAGGGUCUAAACCCUAGCGGUCACCUACAAUGCCUUAAAUGCACAACGGUUAGUGAACCGAUUAAACCACCAGUUGCUCAAUCGGUUGAGGCCCAUUUAUGACUUUUGGGGUCCCCAAGCUAGAAACCUAUAAAUUGGAGAGUUUUAGAGCAUUUAUUGAUAAGAGAACAACUGUAUUCAAUUGAAAAAACAUUCUUUCUUCUCAUUCAAAGCUCUUCUACAAGUGCAUUGAAUUCUCAAUUUGCAAAUCUUUUUCCACACCUUCAAAUCCACUUAGUUUCUUCUUGUAUUGAGAGUUGAACUUGCUACUAGGUUUGGAAUUCUUGAAUUCUUUCUUACUUACUCUUUGUGAGAGAUUUAUUCAAGUAGGGUGAUUACUUGAAGAGGUCGUGAAGGUCCAUUGAAACCUUGAAAUCCAAGUAUAAAGAGUUUGAUGAUUUGCUCUAAAAGUCAUGAAGAUAGUGGAACCCUCACUCAGUUAGGGGCUUGAGGAAAGUGGACGUAGGUAGCUUACCGACCACUAUAAAAGAGUUUGCAUUUUUCAUCUCUCAACUUUUUAGAUUAUUCUUCCUUUGUUCAUCAUUUCUCAUAUGAUGUGCUUUUAAUUGUUGGGUUUGGAUAAAGUUUUUAACACUCAAUUCAUCCCACCUCUUAGGUGAUUAUCUUAAUUUAAUUAGCCGUUUUUCACAAAACAGAUAUAAAAAAUUACCCUAUGAUCCCCCUCUCCAAGCAGAGUACUUCUCAUCCAUCAAUUUAUGUCUCCUUUUCUACUUGCUCUUGCUUUGUUCUUUUUCCACCUUCUAAACGAAAUCUUUUCUACCUUUUCUACAUAUCUUGCAUUUCACUUACAUAUAUUUUUCAUUUCUCAUACAGGGAAAGAAGACCUCUCCAUUUUUACACUAAGGGUUCCACACUUCAACAUAAGUGCCUUAAAUUUUGAAAAGCUGGGAGCAACUUCACCAACUCCAAUAUAUUAAAAUCCUGUGAACUUCAUAAACAGCAAUUUUAGCUAUCCAUUCAUAAUGGUAUCUCUCAGUUAGAAUGAUUUCUAACCAUUUUUUUCUGUUUCCUUUUCUUUUUUGAAGAUAUAUUAAAUGUAAGGGGAAACCGAACCUGCUUUACUAGGGCCAAAAACAAAAGUUUAACCACUUCUUUCCUCAAUAACUUUCAUAUAGUGUCAUGACAUGGGAAGAAAUGGGAAAGGGAAGCAACUUAACAAAGAAAGAGAGGGAAAUGAACGAACAAAAAGAAAGUGGACAAAGCAACUCAUGAUAAGAGGUGGAGGAAAGAAUAUCAAUAGCAGUUGCCAUUGGUUUCCAACAACCAAUAAGAUUUUUUUUUUUUUUUUUUCUGAUAGGUAAAUUUUUGCCCCCAUUAGGACUUGAACCUAGAACCUCCCACAAACUCUCCCUAUCCCUUUACCAUUUGAGCCAAGCCUCAAGGGCAACCAAUAAGAUUAUUUCAUCUUCCAAUAAAUCUUAGUAGCUUAUGCCUAAUUCAUUUAUGAUUUCUGAAAUUCUUUAAAAUGGGAAAAUCAUAUAUCAAUUUCAGAAAAUUAACAUCCUAACAUAUUUAAUUUGAAUAACUCAUUAAACCUAAGAUAAAAAUUUCAAGGUCCAACUCUCAAGAAAUAGUGCUUCAUUAUCAGCUAAUAUAACAAUGCCAAAUUAAUCAAGAAGUAGAGCUAAAACCUGAGCUGCACUAUGUGCCAUGGGGUAUACUGCAGACUGAGCAUAUACAAGGGAAGGCCAAGACCCAGGUCCAGAUUGGCAGACUAAAUCUGUUAAUUGAACAAUUAAUAAAUUAAUAAAGAGAUCUGCACCACCAUAAAUGCAAUAGAAUCACAAGAAAAUGAAAAGUCAUUCCAUUAGGGAAGCCAUGCCCCAAGUUAAAUGAUCAAGCAGAUUUUCAAGUUAGAAAAAAUUUGAUUAGUUCAAGGGUUUUAAUGUUAGGAGUCAGGAAAGAGCAAAAGCUUUUAGAAGUUCCCUUAUAAGUGAUAACAAGUAUUACUUUAAAAGAGAAAUCGCAUAAAGUACAAGAAACGUAUAGAUUCAAAACUUUGAAAUUUUGUCGUAAGGAUCACACCAAUGCAAAAUUGAGUAAGAGAAAUAGAUUUUAAAUAUUUUUGGAAGUUUCUAUUAUCAUGUUAGAACAUAGUAAAUUAAAUCUGACUUUUCAAGGUCUUGAUAUCAAUAAUCCAAGUUUCCCACUACAUGUUUGAUUUUAGCCCAUUAGAAGUGUAACUUCUGUCAAAUUAAAUAGCGGGUGACAUUCUUGUUUUGACUUAUAAAAAACCAAUUCGGCACACAACACAUGCAUUGUAAUUGCAAUAUUCGACCACACCAUGGCCCAAUUUGUGAGUUGUAUUGGCAAUUUUUAGUCCGUUACUUGGUCCUCUGGUUCUUUCCCACUUUUGAGGGGGUAAUUGAGCAAAACAUCUAAAAUUUAUGCCAAUUAAGAUUUUAUAACAAGGGUUCACCAUUCUAUGACACAAUGAUACCUUGUUUUCUUAUUAUUUAAGUUAUUUGAUAGUCAAGCAACUUUAAGAAAGUUCUUCCAUAUUUUUUUUGUAAGCCAUUCAACUAACAAUAACCCACCAAAAUAGAAAUUUUAUUAAGUAGUUAGUUCCAGUACUGAGUUUUAGCAGCAACAUAAAGUAUACAGUAAGACUACAUUUGGUUGGCAAGAUAGAAUAUGAUAGGAUGUGCAUAUCCUAGGAUAUCAUUUUCAUUGGAUAUAGUAUCCAAGUAUGUGAAAAUCAAGCAACUUUAAGAAAGUUCUUCCAUAUUCUUUUUGUAAGCCAUUCCACUCACAAUAAUCCACCAAAAUAGAAAUUUUAUUAAAUAAUUAGUUCCAGUAAUGAGUUUUAGCAACAACAUAAGGUAUAUAGUACAACUGCAUUUGGUUGGCAAGAUAGAAUAUGAUAGGAUAUGCAUAUCCUAGGAUAUCAUUUUCAAUGAGAUAUGAUAUCCUUGGAUAUUAUAUCCAAUGAAAACGAUAUCGUAGGAUAUUAUAUCCAAUGAGAUAUAUUAUGACAUGUUCAUGUUUGGUUUGUAGAGAGAAUAAAAAAUGGAAUAGAAAAUAUAUCACAUUUAAAUAUAUAAAAUCAUUAUAUAUAUAAUAUAAUACUUUCUAUUAGUAUCAUUUUAGGUUGUAUUAUUCGCAUUUUUUUAAUUCAUUUCCUUUUCAAACUAAUAUUUAAUUUUUUAAUCAAAAAUUCUUUUUUUUUUUUUUUUUUUUUGUAAAAUGAGUAAUAUAAAAAAAAUUGAGAAACAAACAAAGAAAAUGAACAAAGGAUAAUUUUAUUAUUCAUGGGGUAUGCAUAUCUCAUAACUCAAUUUAGGAUUAUUAUAUCCUAUGUAAAGAGGUAUUAAAAAGAGGUUGGAUAAGUUAUCUUAUCACUUAUCAUAUUCUAUGUAUGAUUAAAUAUGAGCUGAGAUAAAUGAUGGGAUAACUUAUCCUAUUCCAUCUCCAAUCAAAUAUGGAAUAAGAUAUGUUAUUCAUUCUCUUAUCAUAUCUCAUGUAAUAUCCAACCAACUAAACAAAGAUUAAGAAUUAUUGCAAAAGAAAAUAUUAACAUUAGAUCAAGUCCUACCAAGACCUCCCGUCCCAGAUGCUUCAAUAUUUAUAAAAGCUCCAAUUGUAUCACUCCAUUUAUGUGUCUUCAUGAAUCCAUGUGCACCCUGAAACAUGGUAAACAAAUAACCAGUCAUAAGCUUAAACACAUUGGAAUGGCAAACACAAAAUUUAGAUAAACUAAAUACACACUUUUCUACCUUUAACACACAUUAUCAGGUUAAAUCCAACAGAUAAUACCCUCUUCUACAUAUCAAAACAAACGUUUUAAAUUUCUUUCUUUAUAAUCUACAACCAGACUGAUACCUAUCCACAUAAAAGAAAAGAUGUUGUAGUUUCUUUGAAGGUUGACCAUAUCUUUCAUCGAUUUAAUUUGGAAAUAAUAUACAAUUCACGUAUUAUAAAUUUUCAUUUAUUUAAAUAGAAGAUGUUAAGUUCUUUUGCAGCUGUAGACUGUGUCAGACGGACACUCCACAAUGCCUAAGUUCCUUUGUUGCACAAAACAAAAGCAGGGUAUAGGAAAAGAAAAUGUAUCUGAAAAGCAUGCCAGACAACAAAGCCACCUGAUCAGGUCAUGGAAUGUCAUGGCAGGCACCCAAGGACACAACCAAAGGAUGCUUCAUAAUGAGAACAAUAUGGUAAAUACAAACUUAAGACCCUGUUAUGAGAACACUCUGCUCUUUGAAAGGUACAACAUGCUGUAGUCCACUUGAAAAACAAUAAAUCUGGUAUUUCCCAACUUCAUUGCCCUAGUUUUAUUCCCCUUUUUUAUUUAUCUCCAUUUAAAAACUUACAGGUGUGUCCCAAUGAAUGCUAAUCGUAUGAAUAGCCAUGGAUGGGCAUUGUUGGCAAAACAUAUAAUGAGAAGUAAAAUUAGAAAAGAUGUAUUCUGCCUUGAUACAAACUAAGACAUCUUCCCACUCAGAACAAACCAAAUACUCUAGGGGUCUAAUCUUGAAGAUUACCCCAUUGCUGAUUGGAGCUCAAGAUUCCAACUUACAUUUAUUUGGAAGUGAACACAGAUAUAGAACAUAUUACCAGGGAAAAAAAAAAAUCACACUUGCAUCAAUGGAACAAAACAGAAAUAUUAAUGAUGAAUUGAACUCUCUAGAGGUCAAAUUUUUUAAGCACCAUUGCUAACUAGAGUUCAAUAGCUAAAUUGAUGUAUUUGCUUGCCAGUGAGGGCAGAUAUAGAACAUGAUACCCAAUCAAAAAUUAAAUAACGACCCAAAAACGAAACGAGAAAUGUAUUGCUGAGUAAUAAUAAUAGUGAUAAUAAAUAACCACACUAUCGAUUAUUCCCAAACUAGUAAAAUAAUUUCUUUUUCUCAAAGUAAUGCAACAUUUGCUUACCAACAGAAAAAGUUCUUCAGCGCCAUUAAAAAGAAAAAUAAUGGGACGAGGGGGGACCCAGCCAGAGUCAACAGUAAGUCUUGCCAUUUCAAGCAUUGAUGCUGUAAAGAGGAAAAUUACACAGGAAUUAAUACAAUAUGUGGAAACAUGGUCAUGACAUAUCACCCAGGUAGUAGAGAUUAUUAAUGAACCCACCAACACAUGAACCACAAUCACCAGCACCCGGAGAACCAAGCGGACUAUCAAAAUGGCCAUUCAAUAAAACUGAUGGAUCAGUCUCUUGCGAAUUUACAGAUGAUAUCCUGUAACUCAAUUUAAAUUAAUUUAGAAUUACAUUUUCCAAGAAAAUAAUCAGAUUCUAACAGUAAUUCUUCAAACGCUCAGAUCAUUUAAGAAUUAAUCAAUGUCUUUUACAACAAAGCAUAUUUUUCUGGAAAAUUAAAACAUGAUAGAUUGGCUAAGAAUUUUUAUCAUAAUGCAACAAAAUAUGCUAGUUUCCUUUUCCCCUUUUCCUUUUGUUGGCUUUUCUUGCGGUUCACUGUAAUAUUUUUUUUUUUUUGAUAGGUAACAGUUCACUGUAAUAUAAACUCAACCAGGAUUCUGUGAAGUACCUCAUGAUAACAUUUGUAUGAUUUCUAUACCCCAAAGAUAUGCUAUAUCCUAAAAAUAUCAUGUUGAAGGAGCCAUCAACAAUAGUUUCCUCAAUCUCAAUCCUGCAAGUAAGACAAUUUGAAAGUAGCACAGGGAUUUACUGACAGGCAUAAGAAGAAGGAAACCCUUUGCAUCAAAUAUGUAUAUAUCUUAUGAAAGUGAAACUUCAAGCCUCUACUUCACUAACAAGCCUAUAGAAUAGUGCAUAACACGAACUUAAAAUCACACAAAUUGGAAUAACAUACCAACCUAAUAUUGGAACCAGCUCUCUCCUUCAACACUUCCAAUUGUGCUUUAAUAUACCGAGCAGCUUCUUUCAAACCCGGACUCCCUUCCUAGCAACAACCAUACUAUAAAUAAUUGAAACAAAAAAGCACAAACCUUCCUCCAUAUGGGUGUUUAAGUUUAACUUUGUAUGGUUGCCGAUAUAACAGAAGCAGAGAAAAUAGAUCAAUAAUUUUUUGCUUUUGUCUUCCAAAAUAUAAAACAUAGAAAUAAAACAAACUAAAAAACAGACUUAAAUAAGCUAAAUACUGGUAUUCAACUUAAAUAAGCAGAUUUUUUUGUUUUCUCAGGUCCUUAAUACUGAAUUUUCGAAUUUCAAAAUUUUUUCCUUCCCUACCGUUCCCAGCUACUAAUCCGAUGUUCCUGAAAUAAAUAUCUUUCCAUCGGAAAAACGGAAAAAAAACUGAGAUUCUAAGUCCACCAUAUUCAGAUCAUAUCGUUCAAAAAAAAAAUGAAAAUAAAAAUAAAGAAAUUGGGAAAAGUCAACCCAACUAGAUAAACCACUACAAAUAAUUCCGUGGGAACCGCCAUAAUGAUGAAAACCCAUUAACAAAGUCACACACUUUCAUUUUCUUUGCUUUGCCCGCAUUUUCUCAGCAACCAAACGGACGACGGAGAAAAAGAAACUCUACCACCACAAAAUCAAAUCAAAACAGGCCAAAUAAAAAUUACAAAGAAAGACAGAAACACAGAGUGGGAGAGGGAAGGAGAAAGGCAAGAGAGUUUCUACUGACUUGGCGGCUGCCAAUCUCCUGGGACAACACUCGGAGGUGUUGGAGA